UGGAUGGCCAUUUUUAGUUGGUGGAGCGAUUUAUCUGGUUGAUUCUAACAACAAACAAGACUUUAACCUGCUAAAUAGUAGAUUGAUCGUCUGUGUUCGUCUAGGACUCAGCUUCUAUUGCUUUUUCAUGGAGUAGUGUGGUCGUGGUCCGGCGGGUGCAUUGCCAAGUUUAAUUCUUAGAGGGACAAGUGGCACACCUAAGUCGCACGAAAUUGAGCAAUAACAAGUAUGUGAUG
rfam:Schistosoma haematobium scaffold647_1, whole genome shotgun sequence.